CACGUAGGGUGCGAGCGUUGUCCGGAAUUAUUGUGCGUAAAGAGCUCGUAGGCGGUGUGUCGCGUCGGCCGUGAAAACCUGCAGCUUAACUGUGGGCUUGCGGUCGAUACGGGCAUCACUGGAGUUCGGCAGGGGAGACUGGAAUUCCUGGUGUAGCGGUGAAAUGCGCAGAUAUCAGGAGGAACACCGGUGGCGAAGGCGAGUCUCUGGGCCGAUACUGACGCUGAGGAGCGAAAGCGUGGGGAGCGAACAGG
rnacentral:rRNA from 1 species